ACUAAACCAAUUGAAAUUGAAAUUGAACCCAAAACUUCGUACACACUCAAAUAACCCAACAUAACUCAAAAAAAAGAUCCAAAUGCUUUAAUCUCGAAUAUAGAACAGAAGCAGGAAAGUUCAAGCUAUUUUUCUGAUCCGGAAUGAUACAAAUAAUUGAAUCAUGGACUGAAAUUGAAAACUUAACUAAGGGAAGCAAUGAAACAGUCUUUUAUGGAUUUUUUAAAGGUUUUCUAUUUUUUUGUUUUUGAAUUUUG
rnacentral:lncRNA from 1 species